rfam:Triticum aestivum genome assembly, contig: Triticum_aestivum_CS42_TGACv1_scaffold_731197_7BL
ACGACCUUACUUGAACAGGAUCUGUUCUAUAGGCUCGUACCGCUGCAUCCUUUACCAAUAAGGAGGCAAGCACUUCAGUCUGGUUGAUGUAUUCUGACCACUGGUCCAGAGCGUGAUUAUAACGGCCAGGAUUCUUCUGUUGGAUGGAUCCGACGGCUAUAGAGGAUCGUUCCUGCCAGGCCUUGUCUGUGCAGGGUGGCCCACUGGUUGUCUGACAGACA